AGCAGCCGCGGUAAUUCCAGCUCCAGUAGCGUAUAUUAAAGUUGUUGCAGUUAAAAAGCUCGUAGUUGGAUUUCUGGUUUGACGUGUCUGGCCCGCCUGGGUCACCAGCGUGAGUGCCGGCGCGCGUCUACCAUCCUUCUGGAGAACAGCCUUACCCUUCACUGGGCCGAGGUCGCGAUCCAGAUCAUUUACUUUGAAAAAAUUAGAGUGUUUAAAGCAGGCUUACGCUUUGUAUACAUUAGCAUGGAAUAAUAAUUUAGGACUUCGGUCUCUAUUUUGUUGGUUUCUAGAGCUGAAGUA
rnacentral:rRNA from 1 species